GACGAACGCUGGCGGCGUGCCUAAUACAUGCAAGUAGAACGCACAGUUUAUACCGUAGCUUGCUACACCAUAGACUGUGAGUUGCGAACGGGUGAGUAACGCGUAGAUAACCUGCCUGGUAGCGGGGGAUAACUAUUGGAAACGAUAGCUAAUACCGCAUAAUAUUAAUUAUUGCAUGAUUAUUAAUUGAAAGGUGCAAUUGCACCACUACCAGAUGGACCUGCGUUGUAUUAGCUAGUAGGUGAGGUAACGGCGCACCUAGGCGACGAUACAUAGCCGACCUGAGAGGGUGAUCGGCCACACUGGGACUGAGACACGGCCCAGACUCCUACGGGAGGCAGCAGUAGGGAAUCUUCGGCAAUGGGCGAAAGUCUGAACGAGCAACGCCGGGGGGGUGAAGAAGGUUUUCGGAUCGUAAAGCUCUGUUGUAAGAGAAGAACGGGUGUGAGAGUGGAAAGUUCACACUGUGACGGUAUCUUACCAGAAAGGGACGGCUAACUACGUG
rnacentral:rRNA from 1 species